GAUGAACGCUGGCGGCGUGCCUAAUACAUGCAAGUCGAGCGAACAGAUAAGAAGCUUGCUCCUUUGACGUUAGCGGCGGACGGGUGAGUAACACGUGGAUAACCUACCUAUAAGACUGGGAUAACUUCGGGAAACCGGAGCUAAUACCGGAUAACAUAUUGAACCGCAUGGUUCAAUAGUGAAAGGCGGCUUUGCUGUCACUUAUAGAUGGAUCCGCGCCGUAUUAGCUAGUUGGUAAGGUAACGGCUUACCAAGGCAACGAUACGUAGCCGACCUGAGAGGGUGAUCGGCCACACUGGAACUGAGACACGGUCCAGACUCCCACGGGAGGCAGCAGUAGGGAAUCUUCCGCAAUGGGCGAAAGCCUGACGGAGCAACGCCGCGUGAGUGAUGAAGGUCUUCGGAUCGUAAAACUCUGUUAUCAGGGAAGAACAAAUGUGUAAGUAACUGUGCACAUCUUGACGGUACCUGAUCAGAAAGCCACGGCUAACUACGUG
rnacentral:rRNA from 1 species